GUACUGUUGUUGCGACAAGGUCGGCGAUGGCAGGCGUCGAACUCCUCACAGAAGAUUCCCGUCAAGCCGUCCUCACACUCGCAGAAGAAGGUGCUCUGCAGGCUCGGCUAAUCAGAAGUGUAAGAAGAUUUUAAAAAUAACAGUUUUUAUCUGCUGUGCAGCAUUUGUUGCAUCAGUUACUGUAUGUGCAGAACUCUACACGUCUGUUUUAACCUUGAGGUGCAAAAAACGAAUCAACAGCCUCCAACAUUUUGAGACCGUGAGGCCUGACAGCUUCACCAUCCUGUCUGUUCCGAGCCAAUGAACUGUCCUGCAGUGACGACAGCGGUGAUUGUCAUUCCCUUUGUAAUGCAUGGGCUCUGGCUGCAACAGAGGUAACAGACAUGAAGGUCAGCAGCCAGACGGGGAGGUGUGCGAGUGCAGCUUCAGGGGCAGCAACAUGUCUGACAACACCAGUCCAUCGGAAGCCUGCAGGAACCACAUGGUGGUGCCGUUCAGGAUUGAUGAACGGAGAAAUCCAUCUUCACUCACUCGCCACAGCACUGGAGCUCCACUGGCAUUCACCACCACCCUGUUAGGGUGGAACAGACAGGAAAGCCUGAAUACUCUCUAUGCUGGUGCUUACGCUCUUAUUAUUGUAUGUCUAGUGUUAAAGGUAAGGUUUGAAAUAAACCUCAGAACCAUUGUUAUAAUCUGUAACCCUUGUUAUAAUCCAACAAACAUUUGAGAAUUGUGAAUAGACAUGGAUUUGAGGUCUUAUUUCCCAAUAAUCUGACAUCUCGCUUCUGAUUGGGUUAACAGCAACACUACGCUACCAUUUUGCUUUGGAAUGUUGAUGUUUUAUCUCCACAAAUAACUCAAGCCUGAAGGAGUUCUGCCAUGUUGCUCAUAGCUACUAGUUGACACAUGCGCUGCUGUCUCCUGGAUGCUAACUUAGCAACAGCCUUCCCCCUCAUGAGCAAAGAUGGGUGAGUCCAUGAUUGCUAAUUUACAAUGUGACAUAGAUCUGAAUGACUUUUCCCCAUCUACUUUCUAUCAGUGGCAAAUGCAGGAAACAGGUAAAAGUUUAUUUUCAUGUUCAGUCUGCAUGUUAGACUCAGAAUGACGAUCAUAUUAAAAGAAAUACAACUAAAAAUCUGUUUCUCAGUAAACUUGGUCUUUAAGAAAUUCUGUUAAAAAUAUCAGAUUAGUUUUGUUAAAGGGAGACUAGGCAGUUUUGGUUUGUUUUUAGCACCCCCUAGUGUUCAUUUGCAGAACCAAAAGCUACAUCUAUCUCCUCGCUGUGCGUUUAUCUUUUUAACACCUUACUCUAACAGCUGAAACGUCUCCCCAGCCUUCAUUAGUGUCUACAGGAGUGAUUCAUCACUAAAUUAAACAAAUCAGCUGUGCUCAUGAUCUAAAACAUGCAAGGAACGUGCUGGAAGCAGAAUAAAGCACCGGGGAUGUCAGCUCAAUUUUUUUCUAAGUGCAACAGACCUGACUGGCACUCAGAAGUUGCAAAUGCGGUAUUCUGGCCACAUAGGGCGAUGGGUGUUUUAGCAACAUUUCAUUAACCCUUUAAAGGGUCAUUUUAGCACAUGCUGACUCAAGAAAAUUAUUAUUAAAGAAUUGUAUAGUAUCCCAUUACUGUUCAGGGUCAGGGGGAGAAUAUCCCUGGAAGAGAGAUAUUAAUACAUAUUUAUUAUACUUUUAGGGAGGUUGAACUGGGUGCAGGUUCUUUCUAUUUUCAUGUUCAGGUCAGGUUUCGAGAUCCUUUCUUUUGUUUUAAAGAAUGUUUUAUUUGUUGCCUUAGUUUGGUUUUUCCUGAGGCUAUUGCUAAAUGCUUUUCUGUUUUUGAAAAUGUCAGAAAAUUAUCUGCUAAAAAUAUAACUUUGUCUCCUUGCAUCCAUAUUAUAGACAUUUGCUCUCCAGUCAGGGUUCAGUAUCUUACAGGACUCAUCAUGAGGAGAGAACCCCAGACCAAACAUCCGUCUAAACCUUCCCAAAUACUUGGGAAAAAUGAAGAAAAUAUGAGAGGGAAGUGGAUUUGAGCUGGAUCACUUCAUUGAAAGCCUUCGUGGUAGACAGAUGGUGCAAAGUGGAAUCUGUCAGCUGUAAUGGUUAGAUGACACAGAGAGCCCCUCUAACCCAACUUCCACUCUGAAUUAAUCUUUCUCACAUUGACUAAAACAAAUAAAACAUCCUGUUAUUAUCCUCUCAAACCUUGCUGUUGUGCAUUUGGUCUAAUGAGUGUUUACAGCCUACAAGGGCUGAGAUGAAUAGUUUUAUUACCUCGACUGAAUGUGAAUGAAUGAAUGAAUGAAUGAAAGUCACACCACUGAAAUUGCUUUAUCGGGAAAAAUAAGGUUAUAAGAGACUUCUGUGACUUGACAGAAUCAGAUUGCUCAUGUGAGAAAGUUGAAAGGAGGAAAUAUUUCUAACAUAAGAAAGAAGGGAUUCCCUGAGAGACGGUUUAUUUUUCAGGUAGCUCUGAGGAGAGAAGGUGUGUUGGAGCACGUCACAGAUGGAUCCAUGCAGACGUCCCAAAGUGCUGCGGGUGUCUGUGCUCAGCUGGAGGGGCAACACGCAACAUGAGGAGCUCAGAUAUCUGGAGAGCUACAGAUGCUUCACCUCUAAAGGAGCCGUGUCAUAUUAGCAGUGUUGGGAAAGUUACUUUUAAAAAAGUAAUUAGUUAUAGUUACUAAUUACUCUGUCAAAAAAGUUACUCAGUUACUUACAGAGUUACGAGAUUAUGAAAGUAACUAAUUACCAAAAAAAACUACUUAGUUACCUUUUUCACUAAAUGCAAGAAAAAUGGGUUAAUUAAACUUACUUCAUUUACUAUAAAUUACUACAAUAGUGAAAUAUAAAUGACUAAUGACAGGAACAUAAUAAAAUGUAAGUCCAAAUGUUUUUACAAACCUGAAUAAUUUAAAUAAAUAAGCACUUAACAGGAGGACCUACUAACAGGAACAUUACACUUAUCUAGACUAUUAAAAGGUCACUGUGUGAUAAUUAACAAGAGCCCAAUCAGAUCAAAUUUAUAAUUGCAAAUAGUAACACCUGUAAAGGUUCCCGAGCCUUUAAAUGGUCUCUCAGUCUAGUUAAAUUACAGAAAUGAAUGCAAUUUUGCACAGCAUUUUAAUUUUUCCAGCUUCACAUUGUUGUGUGCUUUUAGUAGUAUUUAUGUUGCUGGUAAUCUAGUAAAGGUUAAAUAAAUAAAUAAAAAUCCUUUAAAAUGACACUAGAAGAGGCACAAAUCUGAUGGACGACUUAAAUGUACUAACUUGGUUCAGAGUGCGUCUGUCAGAGGUCAGACGUGUUCCAGCGGAACCACACAGGUAGUUCUAAUAACACCUGAGCUCCAUGUCGUCUGAGACUGAUGAAUCAGUGUUACAGCGGGACUAAAGACAUGAUCAGAAACAGGUUACAGCUGGAUGAUCUAGGAAGGUAGAAGAUCAGGACGUCUGAGUGGUGAACAGGUGAGCGAACCUUCAGGAUGUACCGCUGUCACGCUAAGAAGGGCGUAGACUAUUCAUCACGUCUUCCUCGUUCUUCACAGGCCGUGAUGCGUUUGGAUGAAAACAUCUGCCUCUUUAGCUCCUGAUCAGCUGAUGACAGCUUCAACACACUGCGCUGCUUAACACAUGCUUUUUCUUAUCAGUAACAGAAACAACAUUUUCAUAAAUGAAGACGCAGGCAGUGACUGAGACAGUGAGAACACCGAGGGUCUCCGCCCACCCGGCCAAUCAUCAUCGUGUUUGUAAGAGCGUUACCGACACCUCUCUCUCCCUGGCUGCAGCUGAAGUGUGGCAGUCAGACAGCCUCACACUGCUGCUCAACGUUCUACAAGCACAUAGUAACGCACGACCUUCCAUCCCCAGUAACGGUAACGGCGUUGCAAGAGUGGGAAAAGUAAUUAAUUAGAUUAUUCCGUUACCUAAAAAAGAACGCCGUUAGUAACGCUGUUAUUUUCAACAGCAUUAUUCCCAUCACUGCAUAUUAGUAGGGCUCUUCUUGGUCCUUGACUAUUGAUCUGUCUGGAUGACAGCUACUGUUAGAUAAAUACUGAUAUUAUUAUUAUUGAACUAAUAUUAAUGUCUUGACUGCUCCUUAUUAAAAACGCAGCUUCAUCCUGUUGACAGAUACCAGGCUCCACCACUUCCUACUGGGAGGAAUGACCUUGCCUCAGAACCGACUUUUAUCAGUAAAACUCCCUUGAGAAAGUCUAGCAAUUGCUUUUGUUGAUUUAGGGUGCACCUGGAGCUUUAGAAGUUUAGACUCCCUUCAGAGCUUUCCCGCCUGAGAGUCUAAGGAAUGACAAAUGUGUGUGCUUAAUAAAUACUGUCAGAGGACUCCCGGUCCGAGGAGAGUGAACUGCAACCUUGUCUGGUGUAUAUUCUUCCUCUCCACUUUGCAAAGUCUAAAUUGAUUGUUUAUUAUUGGUAUUGGUGUUGAUUGAUUGAUUACUAUAACCCCCUGUGCUUUAAACUUUCCCUAAGGUAAUCUUGGAUUGAUAAAAUUACCCAACAGCUACCUUAUCUGUCACUCACAUUUUCAGCAGCCGUGUUUAAGAGUUUUAUCAUAAAAAUCAUUUAUGAAGGAAACAUCUCUCCGGGUCUCCAUCACAGCCUCCGUCUCUGGGUGCGUUCAGGUCCUGUGUGCAAUUACACAAUGUGAAAACAAAGCAGCAGAGGCUGAUUAGCACGCUGCUCGUAGCUCUUUGUCUGAGAUUGUCACCGCUGCCCUUCAUCGUGCCUCUCAUCUAUAAUGAGUAUAACUUCAAGGAUGUCCAGCGUUCACCUUCAGCAUUUCUUUUACAUAAUUCAUUGACCCUUGUUUAUUUGGCAUUUAUGAUACUGUUUCUGGGUGAUUGUGCUGUUAAAGUCAAAAUGAUAUGCACAAAUAAAGCAAGAGUGGAUGGUAAAGUUUCAUGAUAAAC